CCGCGAAUAGCUCAUUACAAUAGCCGUUGUUUCUUGGAUCCUCAAUUUACUUGGAUACCUGUGGUAAUUCUAGAGCUAAUACAUGCGACUAAGGGCCGAACUCACGUGACGCUUGCAUUUAUUAGAUCAAGACUAACCGGCUUCGGCCGUUAACUUGGUGACUCUGAAUAACUCAGCUGAUCGCACGGUCUAGUGCCGGCGACAUAUCUUUCAAGUGUCUACCUUAUCAACUGUCGAUGGUAGUUUAUGUGACUACCAUGGUUGUAACGGGUAACGGAGAAUCAGGGUUUGACUCCGGAGAGGGAGCCUGAGAAACGGCUACCACUUCUAAGGAAGGCAGCAGGCGCGCAAAUUACACAAUCUCAGCACGAGGAUGUAGUGACGAAACAUACCGAGGCGAUGCCCUUUCGGGUGUCGUCAUUGGAAUGAGUCGAAUCUAAAAAAUUCGGCAAGGAUCUAGUGGAGGGCAAGUCUGGUGCCAGCAGCCGCGGUAAUUCCAGCUCCGCAAGUGUAUAUCUAUGCUGUUGCGGUUAAAAAGCUCGUAGUUUGAUUCGCGUACUUAGCACGCAGUGUGGCCUUUCGGCUACUACUGUGAUGCGGUACAUUAUCGUCAGUUUGUCGUUGAUGCUCUUCAUUGGGUGUCAGCGGCGGCUGUCAAGUUUACUUUGAACAAAUUAAAGUGCUCAAUACAGGCGUUUCGCUUGUAUAGUUCUGCAUGGAAUAAUAGAAUAGGACUUACGUUCUAUUGUGUUGGUUUUCAGAACGAAAGUAAUGAUUAAGAGGGACAGACGGGGUCAUUCGUACUGCCACGUUAGAGGUGAAAUUCUUGGAUCGUGGCAAGACGAACUACUGCGAAAGCAUUUGACAAGAAUGUUUUCAUUAAUCAAGAACGAAAGUUAUGGGUCG
rnacentral:rRNA from 1 species